GAAAAGGUGCCUAGUGGACAUGGCACCUGCCCGGUAAGCAGAAGGAUGUGGGUUCGAUUCCCGCCCCUGGACA